UUAUUUUUGCAAGUUCAUAAUUUAUGGAGAAUUCAAUCUGGCUUGGUGGGGUCGCUGGGACCCACAAGGAUUUCCGUUCUCUCUCUGUGUGCUUUUCUUCCUCUCUCCAGAAAAAUCACUCUCGCUCUCUCUCCCUUGCGUUGUCGAUAAACCCAGAAAAAAAAAGGAGCAAACCCUGCCGUUUCAUGGCGAGUUAAGACAAUCAACCGCCGCUAUCACCAUCUCCACCUCGCCACGAGUUCAAAGAUUCCAUUUUUGUUGGAAAACUCGAAGCGAAGUCCCGGACGCCUCCGACAUGAUCGCGAUUUUCUGGCGAGUUUCUCCCCGCUUGAAGCGUCGAUUCGAACAGGGGUUUUCCCCGAUUUCCGCCGAUAUCGGAGCCGGAUCCCGACUAUCCAGCCGUCCAUAGUAGCCCAAAUAUGUUGUUUGACAUCUCCGGUACAAGUUUAGUGCAUUGGUUGUGAGCUUUGGUUGAAAUUGGAGUUAAAUCGAAGCUGCAAAAUUCAAAAUUCCUUGAAGUUGCCGGCGUUUUUCUCCAGAAACCGGCGAGACUUUUCGGCGGCUAGGACCGGUUCACCGGAACUUAACGGCUCAGCCAGACCGGCGGUUGACGGUUCAUUUCGGUCGGACCCGGUUCGUCCGGUCCGGUCCGGUUCGUCCGGUCCGAUCCGGUUCGUCCGGUCCGGUUCGUCCGGUCCGAUCCGGUUCGUCCGGUCCGAUCCGGUUCGUCCGGUCCGACCCGGUUCGUCGGUCCGAUCCGGUUCGGUCGUCAGACCUUCCGGUUCGUCCGGUUCGGCUGCUCAGAACGGUUCGUACGGUUCGAGUGAUUAAAAUCUUAUUUCAGAAGCACAGACGAAGAUAAAUCAGCGCGCGCGCGCUCUCUCUCUCUCUCUCUCUCUCUCUCUCUCAAAUGAAGAUAAAUCACUACUCCCUCUCUAUUUUCUUCAACUCUGAAUCUGUCUCUGUGAAACCCGUUGGAAACCCUAAUCCAACUGUCGUGCUUUGUUGACAAAUAUGGCAGCACAGUUGUGUUUUUUACUCUGCUUCUCUGCAUCUUCUUGUCUUUUGAAUAUUUUAUAUAUUUGUCUCCGCUCAUUCAUUUGUAUUUUUUUUAAAACAACAUAUAUGAUCUUGUAUGCUAUGUCA